rnacentral:ribozyme from 1 species
AGAAAGAAAAGAAGUAAAUAAAGAAAGAACGAGAAGAUACCAAUUAGCUUUCUUCACAUUUUUCUUUAAAAAAAAAUCAAUUUUUUGUUAUUGCCAUCGUUUGUACCACGCCAUCUUUAGAACAAACGAAAAGAAAAGA